rnacentral:rRNA from 1 species
CCUACGGGAGGCAGCAGUGGGGGAUAUUGCACAAUGGGGGGAACCCUGAUGCAGCGACGCCGCGUGGGUGAAGGAGUAUUUCGGUAUGUAAAGCCCUAUCGGCAGGGAAGAAAUUGGACGGUACCUGACUAAGAAGCGCCGGCUAACUACGUGCCAGCAGCCGCGGUAAUACGUAGGGGGCAAGCGUUAUCCGGAUUCACUGGGUGUAAAGGGAGCGUAGACGGCCAUGCAAGCCAGGGGUGAAAGCCCGGGGCCAAACCCCGGGAAUGCCCUUGGAACUGCAUGGCUGGAGUGCGGGAGGGGCAGGCGGAAUUCCUGGUGUAGCGGUGAAAUGCGUAGAGAUCAGGAGGAACACCGGCGGCGAAGGCGGCCUGCUGGACCGCGACUGACGUUGAGGCUCGAAAGCGUGGGGAGCGAACAGGAUUAGAUACCCGAGUAGUC